AUGCAUUGGAUACUGGGAGACUUGAAUACGGGAGAGGGUAGUGGAAUUCCUAGUGUAGGAGUGAAAUCCGCAGAUAUUAGGAGGAACACCGGUGGCGAAGGCGGCUACCUGGACCGAUAUUGACGCUGAGACGCGAAAGCGUGGGGAGCAAACAGGAUUAGAUACCCUGGUAGUCCACGCCGUAAACGAUGAGAACUAGGUGUUGCGG
rnacentral:rRNA from 1 species